UUCCAGGUAGCGAUGCGCAACGAGAACAU
rnacentral:sRNA from 1 species